UACGAAGGGGGCUAGCGUUGCUCGGAAUUACUGGGCGUAAAGGGCGCGUAGGCGGAUGUCUAAGUUGGGGGUGAAAGCCCGGGGCUCAACCUCGGAAUUGCCUUCAAUACUGGAUAUCUUGAGUUCGGGAGAGGUGAGUGGAAUGCCGAGUGUAGAGGUGAAAUUCGUAGAUAUUCGGCGGAACACCAGUGGCGAAGGCGACUCACUGGCCCGAUACUGACGCUGAGGCGCGACAGCAUGGGGAGCAAACAGG
rnacentral:rRNA from 1 species